GACAGAGGGUGCAAACGUUGUUCGGAAUUACUGGGCGUAAAGCGCGUGUAGGCGGCAGGGCAAGUCGGAUGUGAAAUCCCAUGGCUCAACCAUGGAAGUGCACCCGAAACUGCCUCGCUAGAGUCUCGGAGAGGAAGGUGGAAUGCUUGGUGUAGAGGUGAAAUUCGUAGAUAUCAAGCGGAACACCGGUGGCGAAGGCGGCCUUCUGGACGAUGACUGACGCUGAGACGCGAAAGCGUGGGGAGCAAACAGG
rnacentral:rRNA from 1 species